GCACCUUCUUCAGUUGGUUAGAGUGUGUUGUUGACAAUGCCAAGGUUGCAGGUUCAAUCCCUGUAUGGGGCAGCA